rnacentral:misc_RNA from 1 species
GUUUGGAGAUGCUGAAAAGCUUACCAAGGCACUCUUCUCAUUUGCCAGUAAGCUGUCUCCUGUAAUAAUUUUUGUUGAUGAGGUUGAUAGCUUACUUGGUGCUCGUGGUGGUUCAUUUGAGCACGAGGCAACUAGAAGGAUGCGGAAUGAGUUUAUGGCUGCAUGGGAUGGUUUGAGAUCAAAGGAGAACCAGAAGAUCCUUAUACUUGGUGCAACAAAUCGUCCCUUUGAUCUUGAUGAUGCUGUUAUUCGCCGUUUACCUAGGAGGAUAUAUGUUGACCUACCAGAUGCAGCAAAUCGCUUAAAGAUACUAAAAAUAAUUCUUGCUCGGGAAAAUUUGGAGUCGGAAUUCCCCUAUGAGAAUCUUGCAAAUGCAACUGAUGGUUAUUCUGGCAGUGAUUUGAAGAACCUGUGCAUUGCGGCAGCUUAUAGACCUGUUCAAGAGAUACUAGAAGAAGAGAAGGAGCCUGAAUCACUGGGAAGUAGAAAAGAUGGAAUUCCAGUGUUAAGACCUCUCACUGUAGACGAUUUCAUUCAGUCAAAAGCGAAGGUGGGGCCAUCAGUUGCA